CCUACGGGAGGCAGCAGUGAGGAAUCUUCCGCAAUGGGCGAAAGCCUGACGGAGCAACACCGCGUGAAGGAUGAAGUCCUUCGGGAUGUAAACUUCUUUUCUGAGGGAAGAAUUUUGACGGUACCUUAGGAAUAAGUGACGGCAAACUCUGUGCCAGCAGCCGCGGUAAGACAGAGGUCACGAGCGUUAUCCGGAAUUAUUGGGCGUAAAGGGUGUGUAGGCGGAGCAUUAAGUCGGGGGUUAAAUCUUCCCGCUCAACGGGAAAUCUGUUCCCGAAACUAAUGUUCUUUUGAAGCAUUCAGAGGCAAGUGGAAUUCUGUGUGUAGGGGUAAAAUCCGUAGAUACACGGAGGAACACCAAAAGCGAAAGCAGCUUGCCGGGAAUGUCUUGACGCUGAGACACGAAAGCGUGGGUAGCAAACAGGAUUAGAUACCCCAGUAGUCC
rnacentral:rRNA from 1 species